UGCUAGUUCAGAGCCCAUCACUAUGUCUUUAAAGUUAGUAAUCGUUUUUUUAACUCAUUUGCGUUACUUUUCAUUGUUGCUUUCACACCAGAAGCAGGAUGUGGUAUUGACCCUUUUAUUGUCAAUUGUUAUUUGAGAACAGCUCGAUGUCUUUGGCACACACAUCAAACCAGACUUUGAGCAGAGCUAAAUGUGGCUUUGCUUUGAGAACUUCAAUGGAGCCAUGGCCCUUUGCAUUUACAGAGGAGCUGUCUGCAAUGAAAAGUCCCUUUGGCUUCUUGGCUAAACCAAAAGGUUGCAUAACAUGUGCCGUAAGUGGCAACUGAAUUGAAAAACUGGUUAUCUGUAUGGUGGGCAAAAGAGAAAGAUAUUUUGGCAUAUCUCAGUUUCCCUCAGGAUUUGCACCAGGAUAACCUCCUGGAAAGUGCCAGGAGCCUCUCUUGAACGUUCAGUGCCUUCAGACUCCUGUUGGUAUGGAUGGAAACUAAAAACUUUUGAUAGUGGAGAGAUUUAACUCUGAGGGGCUGCAGAAAAAAAGAUGCGUUCCUGUUCCAGGACCUCCAGGUGCACAUAAGUGAUGCUUUUGAGAGGAUCUGCAGAUGGCUGCCAUUUAUCAAGACAGAUGAACUCAUUUGCAGGAAGAGGAAAGGCAGAGAUACAAAGAUUGACAUUUCUACUGUGUGGUUUGAAGCUAAAAUGUAAAGCCCGGGGUCCCUCCUGUCCGUGGAAUGCUCAACCGCUAAGUGCUCUCUGCUGGUUAUGGGAUCAAGAUGUGUUUGCUGGCUUUCACCUCGCAUAACUCUGAGAGCAGAAAAUAACCAUGUCCACCUGAGCAGUCACCCUUGUGAAUGAAAAAGACAUAUGUUUCAGUAGGAUGGCUAUUUUAAACAAAUUAUUUCAGGAGAAGAUGCAGCAUGAUAUACAGGCGCCUCUUUCCUCCUGUUGACAACAAAAGAAGUCUAAGCUGCAGGUGUGUGUCCUAAGGGUGGGUGAGAUGAAUCCCUCUCCUUUUUCUGCUGAAGGAAGGAAGAAGUUGGGAUAAAGGAGAAAAUGCUCAGGUUUCUCUGGGAAAGGGCAGUGUAGGCUGAGGUCACAUCUUCUCAGUGUCCUGUACCAGAGAUGCUAAUGGAUCUCAGCUUGUUUAAUAACUACAAGAAAGGCAGAUCAGGAAUGCCAGCUCAUAAAAAAAGAAGCAAACAAAACAGGCUGUCUUGGCUCCCACCAUGUGACAGCAGAAAUAUUACUGGCCAAGUGGAAAAAGACAAAAUCUGUUGAGGAAGAAAUGCUAUUUUCAAGCUUUAUAAGAGGAAUCACAAACAUUAAGAAUAAACAGACUGGGAAGUAGAAAAUAUUGGUUUUG
rnacentral:lncRNA from 1 species